rnacentral:rRNA from 1 species
UACGGAGGGUGCAAGCGUUGUUCGGAUUUAUUGGGCGUAAAGCGCGUGUAGGCGGUCUUCUAAGUCUGAUGUGAAAGCCCUGGGCUCAACCCAGGAAGUGCAUUGGAUACUGGACGACUUGAAUACGGGAGAGGGUAGUGGAAUUCCUAGUGUAGGAGUGAAAUCCGUAGAUAUUAGGAGGAACACCGGUGGCGAAGGCGGCUACCUGGACCGAUAUUGACACUGAGACGGACGAAAGCGUGGGGAGCAAACAGG